rnacentral:rRNA from 1 species
UACGUAGGUGGCAAGCGUUGUCCGGAUUUAUUGGGUUUAAAGGGUGCGUAGGUGGUCAAUUAAGUCAGUGCUGAAAUAUUCCGGCUUAACCGGGAGGGUGGCAUUGAUACUGAUUGACUUGAGUAGAGUUGAGGUAGGCGGAAUUGACGGUGUAGCGGUGAAAUGCUUAGAUAUCGUCAAGAACACCGAUAGCGAAGGCAGCUUACUAAGCUCAAACUGACACUGAUGCACGAAAGUGCGGGGAUCAAACAGG